rnacentral:rRNA from 1 species
GAUGAACGCUGACAGAAUGCUUAACACAUGCAAGUCAACUGUUGCGGACGUGUGAGUAACGCGUAAAGAACUUGCCUCACCGAUCGGGACAACCUUUUGAACCGAAUUCUAAUCCCUAAUCCUUUCAGAGAGCUUUCCGUCCCAUUAGCUAGUUGGAGAGGUAACGGCUCACCAAGGCGAUGAUGGGUAGCCGGCCGGAGAGGGUGAUCGGCCACAAGGGGACUGAGAAACAGCCCUUAGUCCUACGGGAGGCAGCAGUGGGGAAUAUAGGACAAUGGACCAAAGUCUGAUCCAGGAAUUCUGUGUGCAAGAUGAAGUUUUCGGAAUGUAAAGUGCUUUCAGUUGGGAAGCGGUACCAACAGAAGAAGUGAUGGCUAAAUACGUGCCAGCAGCCGCGGUAAUUC